rnacentral:pre_miRNA from 1 species
CAAAGUGCUCAUAGUGCAGGUAGUUGUAUUCGUAUUCUACUGUAAUAUGGGCACUUACAGU